GAUGAACGCUGGCGGCGUGCCUAAUACAUGCAAGUCGAGCGAACAGAUGAGGAGCUUGCUCCUCUGACGUUAGCGGCGGACGGGUGAGUAACACGUGGAUAACCUACCUAUAAGACUGGGAUAACUUCGGGAAACCGGAGCUAAUACCGGAUAAUAUUUUGAACCGCAUGGUUCUAUAGUGAAAGACGGUUUUGCUAUCACUUAUAGAUGGAUCCGCGCCGCAUUAGCUAGUUGGUAAGGUAACGGCUUACCAAGGCGACGAUACGUAGCCGACCUGAGAGGGUGAUCGGCCACACUGGAACUGAGACACGGUCCAGACUCCUACGGGAGGCAGCAGUAGGGAAUCUUCCGCAAUGGGCGAAAGCCUGACGGAGCAACGCCGCGUGAGUGAUGAAGGGUUUCGGAUCGUAAAACUCUGUUAUUAGGGAAGAACAAAUGUGUAAGUAACUAUGCACGUCUUGACGGUACCUAAUCAGAAAGCCACGGCUAACUACGUG
rnacentral:rRNA from 1 species